AGAAGCCCAUGUGCCUAUGAGGAAGAGCGCAGAGAGCUCGGACCAAGAUGUCUGCAGAGGGCUGAGCGGCCCCUCCUCUCUCCUGGAGCCGAAGGAGCAGCAACAGCAGGGGAAGCAAAACCUCGCCAAGUUCAAGGUUGACUCCAGUAAACUCCGGCGGAGGCGACCUGGAGCCUGGUAACUCCUCAGAGGACCCCCCGCCCCCACCCCAGCAGCAGAGAACGCUGGACGUUGCCAAGUUCAAGGUUGAAUCGGUAAAUUCGGGCAAAGGUGGCAUGGAGGCUGGUGACUGUCCAGCCCCACCCCCCGCAGGCAGAACCUUUGGGAGCCAAGCACUUUCCGCCUCUUCUCUUGAAGAUAACUUCCCUGCUUUCCCAUAGCCGCAUUCCCAGGACAGCUUGGGUUCCAGUGCUAAUACUGGCAGCGUUACCUUGGGCAAGUCACUGCUUCUCUCUGGGCUUCAGUUUCCUCAUUUGUAAAAUGAGGGGGUUGGACUUAAUCUCGCAGUGCCCUUUCCCUCUCUGAAUCCAGCGUCUGUGCUGUUGACAGGGGGGCAGGGCACCAUGUCGAUGGGCUUUCUCCUAUUCCCAGGCAAACCGCAGGCGAGGGACUAGCAGACGGGAGGGCAUCCGUCCCAAAGUCUCCGGCUGAAAAGGGACCGGUCCCAAGUGAGCUAUGAAAAACGAAGUACCACUCUCUGCCCUGGGACUCAGGGGUUCCCUGGGGUCACUCAGAAGCAGCGAGCCCGUAGGUUUGGCCCCACCUCCUUCUCUGCUCCAGAGCUUGCUGGAAGAGGCUGCAGACUACUUAGUGAUUCACCGGGACUUCAAGGCAUGCCUGGAGACAUGCCAAAGGGGCUGUGAGAGACUGGGCUCAUACUUACGGGCAGAGGAGUAUGAGGACAGCAAGGACCUGAAGUGCUUCCUGUGUGUGGUGGGGAUCCAGGCCUUGGCAGAGAUGGAUCGAUGGCGGGACGUUCUCUCUUGGCUUCUGCAGUAUUAUCAGGUCCCAGAACAUCUGCCCCCCAAACUUCUGGAACUGUGCAUUCUUUUAUACAGCAAAGUAAAGGAACCUCAGGCGAUCCUGGAGGUGGCCAGCAAUUGGCUGAGAGAUCCAGCUAAUCGAGACCUGCCAGAAUAUGGUGCCAUAUUUGAACUUCAUCUGUUUCGGGUGCUGUUACCGCUGCACUGUUGGACAGAUGCCGAGGCUAUGGCUGGGCUCUGUGCAAAGGAGGAGCAGCGACGGGCUGCUUCUCAGGCCAUCUACAUAGCAAGGCAGCAGCAAGAGGAGAACCUUCAGGAAACCGAGGAACCAGACCCACAAAAGGAGAACCAGGGAGGCACCUUCUGCCGAAAGCAGCUGGCCCUGUGGAAGUUGCUGCGCUGGUUGCUAGAGUCCAUGGUGGACCAUCUCCUUUCCCUGCCCUUAAAGAAGACCUUCUUGUUUGCUUUGGUCCUUUGCCUCUUGGUGGUGAGAUUUGAUCCAGCUUGUCCCUCUUCACUGCCUUUCUUCUACAAGUUGGCUCACAUCUUCUAUCGCAUUCGAGGGACCAUCUUUUCUCCAUGCUACCUGUCGUCUUAUAAUUCGUGAUGGAGUGAACUUUGCAACACAACUCAGCUGUUCCAUUCUUGGCCAUGACACUGACAGAACGUCUUAUUGACUUCUACAUUCUUGCAGUUUGAUGUCUGGGGCCUCUGUUAUUUUAAGGUUAAUGAUAAUAUGGGAAAGCUAGGUCUGGUCAUGUGGACUUUUGCCUGCCCAGCAAAAAAACCAACUGAGGGAGGGGCUGGGCAGAUAUGGACUGUGAUACUGCUCCCAACUUCUCUUCGUAGAUUCCACUUUCUCUAGUCUCAGUGCCAUGAUUCUAGGUGACAAGGAAGUGUUGGUGCCAAUAAAGGCCUGUUGGUGCUUCCUCUUUAGAAUAGCUCACUACCUAGAGGCACUCUCAAAAGGGAUUAUUUUGGAAUGCUGACCAGGAGCUAUGGAAUAUUCUUGUCUCUGUCCAGAGGCAGGAUCAUCGAGAGUGUAAAUUUUUGAGAUGAAACACCAAUCAACUAACAUGUCAUGAAAUUCGAGGAAACUCAUGUUCCUUCCAUGCAGCAGACCAGGCCCCUGGCAGAGACCAUCCCUAGUAUUUCAGAACGUCAGAAGAGCCACAGUUUCAUCAUCAUGGAUGUGCCAUCAGUUUUGUAAAUCACAUCUCUUCCUUGCCUUUGGAGGCAGCCUUCAUCAGUUGUUGUGGCCAGAAAAAUCCAUCACUGUGUGGCCAUUCUCUCCAAUUUGGCUAGGCUGAUUGUUGGAUGACAAAUCACAAUUUGUCACUGAGCCCCUCAAAGACUUAUUAGCUUAAUGUGACUGGCCAGACUAUGUGCUCCAUUGGCAUCACUUUCUAGAAUGCAGAGUCAUUUAAUUAAUGCCGUGAAAAAUGGGAAUAGGACUUUGGAGGAGAUGGUAUGUAGAAGAUGUCAGUAAAUGUUUGAUUUUCGGGAGCUACAGAGCAACAGUUACUUCUCAUCCUCUCCCCAGAGAAGAGCAUAGUCUACCAAGACUGCCAGGAGAGUUCAGAAUGACCUUUGGAAGAGUAUGACCCUGCCAAUAACUUUUGCCACAAUUGAGAAGGCAGGACAGUAGAUCUGUAGACUAGUUAUUGUCAUUUCAAUUAACACCCAUGAGGGCACCAGACUUUGUCUCUGAGGCUGCUUGUGGAUGGAUUAUAAAAGCAGAGCUAGCCCAGGCUUCUGGAUGUCACAGGUUGCAUAACCUUGGAUUUAAUGCUGGACAAGGAAUUGAAUUUGAAUCCUACCUCUGACACUAGCUGUGUGACCAAAGACAAGCCAUUUAGUCUCCAUGGCCCUCUGUUUUCUCACAGGAUUGUUGGGAGGCUCAUAAGAGCUAACCUAAAAGCUUAUCUCUGUUAGUAAUUAUAACCAGCCCUCAUGCUUUGGGGCUGACUGUUAAUAAAAUCAAUGGAGAGCCAGCCUGAGACCUGUGUGUGUCAGUAGGAGAGCUUGGGCUUUCUCUUUGUGUUCCCCAUGUGUCCCUGGAGAAACAUAUUGCAGUGAGCUAUACUGCAAGCCGCUGGAGGUCUUAGGGCACAGCAUAUGCCAAAGCGUUGGUCAUCAGGGAUUUGUGUCAGAGGUGGGAACUUUGCAGUCAGAGGUGAUGGGCUUCUGACAGUAUCACUCUGGAAAUUAUUGUUUUAGAAAUGCAAGUGGGCAUUAAUCAGCAUAGAUCACUGGGGCAAAAGAAUAUCUGUCGGACUUUGGAAUCUGGGUCUAAAUUUCUCCUGACUCCUACAGCUCUCAGAGUUGGGGGGAUACACUUUGAGUGAGUCUCUGGGAGUAGGAUCCCAGGACCUUUUGAAUUCUUCAUGAAAGUCUUGAACAUAAGAGUAUGUGUGUAAGAAUAUAUACAUGUAUGUAUAUGUACACAUGUAUGUACAUGUGUAUCCACAUAUAUGUAUGUGUGUAUAUAAUUUUAAAAAACAUUUCUACCUCCCUAAGCAGUGCUCAGGGUAUUUUCCUGCAUUCUUUCUUUGGGAAAGAUUAGAGGGUAAUAACUACAUGUAGUCUGAAUUUAGGUCGGCACUAAGGGACUCAUGAUAAAACAUGCUAUCUGCCUCCAAACAGAACUGAUGCAAAUGGAAGCAUUUUUUCCCUUUUUUUAAAAACAUGGUUAAUAUGGAAAUUUGUUUUGCAUGACUACACGCUUGUAAUAGGUUUUGUUUUUCUUGCCUUCUCAUUGGGUAGGGGAUGGGAAAGAGAAAAGGAAAGAAUUUAGAAUGAAAAAAAGAAUUAAGAGAAUCUCUGUGUUUAAAAAAAAGAAAAAUAAUCUUUGUUAUAGGUUAUGGAUCUCUGAGAGGGAAAGAGGAAUGAUUGCUACAGAGGGAAUUAAUAGGGAAAUUUGAUAUAAAAGCAAAAAAUCAAUUAAAAGUAUUUUUAAAAAACAA